rnacentral:tRNA from 1 species
GCCCGAAUGGCCAAGUGGUUAAGGCGUGGGAUUGCAGAUCCUAAGGUCCCCGGUUCGAGUCUGGGUUCGGGCU